rnacentral:rRNA from 1 species
AUUGAACGCUGGCGGCAUGCCUAACACAUGCAAGUCGAACGGCAGCGCGGUCUUCGCUUGCUCUGCGGGGGGCCGACUGGCGGGUAAUUGAGCGGUACGUCCGCAUCAGCUUUGGAGAGGGGGGCGAAAUCCGGAUUAAUACCGCAAACGAGCAUAGGGCGUAAGCGUGGAAGCGGAAGACCUUGCGCUAUUGGAGGGUCGGAUGUCGGAUUAGCUAGUUGGUGGGGUAAAGGCGUACCAAGGCGACGAUCCGUAGCUGGUCUGAGAGGAUGACCAGCCACACUGGGACUGAGACACGGUCCAGACUCCUACGGGAGGCAGCAGUGGGGAAUUUUGGACAAUGGGCGCAAGCCUGAUCCAGCCAUGCCGCGUGCGGGAAGAAGGCCUUCGGGUUGUAAAGCCCUUUUGUUCGGAAAGAAAUGCACCAGGCUAAUACCCCGCGGGGCUGACGGUACCCAAAGAAUAAGCACCGGCUAACUACGUG